rnacentral:ncRNA from 2 species
UAAUGGAUUCGCAUUUCAGGUGCAGGAAACUGCUUAAUCGGGAACAGAGUGAAUUUCUCUGACUGCCCCAGCAACCGUGAAGCGGACAAACUUCCAACAGCCACUGUAUAUCGAUAUGGGAAGGCGGAAGGGCGGAUGAAGCGAAGUCGGUAGACCGGCCUGAAUGAAAGAAGUCUU